GAAGUGGAGGAGGGUUCCACGUGAACAGUAGUUGAAUGUGGAUCAGUCGAUCCUAAGAUAGUGGCUUAUGCCUUGUAUCAUCGAGAGGGAAAAGUCUCCUUUCUCUUGAGUAUCAAAAGGGAGUAAGGUUAAUAUUAAUAACGCAGACAGAUACUGGAUAGAAAAGAGGACUCACAAGAACAAGGAUAAGGGUUUGGUUCCUCUCGUUGACACUUUGUUUUCCAUGUUUUAAAGACAGA
rnacentral:ncRNA from 1 species